GACAGAGGGUGCAAACGUUGUUCGGAAUUACUGGGCGUAAAGCGCGUGUAGGCGGCUAUGUAAGUCGGAUGUGAAAGCCCUGGGCUCAACUCAGGAACUGCAUUGGAAACUGACGGACUGGAGUACCGGAGAGGGAAGCGGAAUUCCUGGUGUAGCGGUGAAAUGCGUAGAUACCAGGAGGAACACCGGUGGCGAAGGCGGCUUCCUGGACCGACACUGACGCUGAGGCGCGAAAGCUAGGGGAGCAAACGGG
rnacentral:rRNA from 1 species